UACGUAGGCAGCGAGCGUUGUUCGGAGUUACUGGGCGUAAAGGGUGUGUAGGCGGUUGUUUAAGUUUGGUGUGAAAUCUCCCGGCUCAACUGGGAGGGUGCGCCGAAUACUGAAUGACUAGAGUGCGGGAGAGGUGAGUGGAAUUCCUGGUGUAGCGGUGAAAUGCGUAGAUAUCAGGAGGAACACCGGUGGUGUAGACAGCAUGCUGGACCAUUUCUGACGCUGAGGCACGAAAGCGUGGGUAGCAAACAGG
rnacentral:rRNA from 1 species